AGUAAAUUAUUAUAUAUCACUUAGUCAUCAGCGUUCGUCUUCGAAGCGGAGAAACAUUUUCAAGAUAAAGAUUUGAAUGACGAAAAUUAUAAAAAUUAAGGAAUUUCCCGAAUCAUUGAUGAAUACGAAACUGAAUAGCCAGGUUCCAUUUGCACUUCCUGUUACAGAAAAAAAACCGGGUCAGCGAGAGCUCCUUUCUAUCGUUUGUUACAGACUUUCCCUUUGGCUGAUUGUGAUCUAAUUCCUUAAAACAAUGGUUCUGCGUAACGCAGCCAGGUGAAUCGAAUGGUCUUUUUAUGUUUAGUGACAUUUAUUUGAAGGUUUACUAAAUUUUUGAAAACGCUUUUCAGGACAAAAGACUGAAAAACUGCCUGUAAACACAGCUAUCAUUAAAGGCAAUGAAUAACCUAAGAACAUCCAAACAAUAUGAUAUCAGAGACUAGCAAUUUUUAUCACUCAAUGUGGCAGUAAAACCUAAAUAAAUAUUGAAAUGUUCAAUUUCUUUUUUCAUUGCUUUUUUUCUCUUGUUUAUGAAUAUUGAAUGAUAUUUAUGCGAAUUUCGCAUGAUUUUUACAUGAAAAACUGAUAAUUUGGAAUUUGCAUGAAUAUCAUGCGAAAUUUCACUCACAUGAAAAUCGCAUGAAUUU